AGUGAACGCUGGCGGUAGGCCUAACACGUGCAAGUCGAACGGCAGCACAGUAAGAGCUUGCUCUUACGGGUGGCGAGUGGCGGACGGGUGAGGAAUACAUCGGAAUCUACUUUUUCGUGGGGGAUAACGUAGGGAAACUUACGCUAAUACCGCAUACGACCUACGGGUGAAAGCAGGGGAUCUUCGGACCUUGCGCGAUUGAAUGAGCCGAUGUCGGAUUAGCUAGUUGGCGGGGUAAAGGCCCACCAAGGCGACGAUCCGUAGCUGGUCUGAGAGGAUGAUCAGCCACACUGGAACUGAGACACGGUCCAGACUCCUACGGGAGGCAGCAGUGGGGAAUAUUGGACAAUGGGCGCAAGCCUGAUCCAGCCAUACCGCGUGGGUGAAGAAGGCCUUCGGGUUGUAAAGCCCUUUUGUUGGGAAAGAAAAGCAGCAGGUUAAUACCCCGCUGUUCUGACGGUACCCAAAGAAUAAGCGCCGGCUAACUUCGUG
rnacentral:rRNA from 1 species